UUUCUUUCAGUGUACCUUGGGGGGAGGCAUAGCUCAGUGGUUUGAGCAUUGGCCUGCUAAACCCAGGGUAGUGCGUUCAGUCCUUGAGGGCUCUGUUUAGAGAACUGG